rnacentral:rRNA from 1 species
GAUGAACGCUAGCUACAGGCUUAACACAUGCAAGUCGAGGGGCAGCAUGACCUAGCAUUAGGUUGAUGGCGACCGGCGCACGGGUGAGUAACACGUAUCCAACCUGCCGAUUAUUCCGGGAUAGCCUUUCGAAAGAAAGAUCAAUACUGGAUAGCAUAACGAGAAGGCAUCUUCUUGUUAUUAUAGAAUUUCGAUAAUCGAUGGGGAUGCGUUCCAUUAGUUUGUUGGCGGGGUAACGGCCCACCAAGACAUCGAUGGAUAGGGGUUCUGAGAGGAAGGUCCCCCACAUUGGAACUGAGACACAGUCCAAACUCCUACGGGAGGCAGCAGUGAGGAAGAUUGGUCAAUGGACGAGAGUCUGAACCAGCCAAGUAGCGUGAAGGAGGACUGCCCUAUGGGUUGUAAACUUCUUUUAUAUGGGAAUAAAGUGGGCCACGUGUGGCUUUUUGUAUGUACCAUACGAAUAAGGAUCGGCUAACUCCGUG